rnacentral:rRNA from 1 species
GACGAACGCUGGCGGCGUGCUUAACACAUGCAAGUCGAACGGAAAGGCCCUGCUUUUGUGGGGUGCUCGAGUGGCGAACGGGUGAGUAACACGUGAGUAACCUGCCCUUGACUUUGGGAUAACUUCAGGAAACUGGGGCUAUUACCGGAUAGGAGCUCCUGCUGCAUGGUGGGGGUUGGAAAGUUUCGGCGGUUGGGGAUGGACUCGCGGCUUAUCAGCUUGUUGGUGGGAUAGUGGCUUACCAAGGCUUUGACGGGUAGCCGGCCUGAGAGGGUGACCGGCCACAUUGGGACUGAGAUACGGCCCAGACUCCUACGGGAGGCAGCAGUGGGGAAUAUUGCACAAUGGGCGGAAGCCUGAUGCAGCAACGCCGCGUGCGGGAUGACGGCCUUCGGGUUGUAAACCGCUUUCGCCUGUGACGAAGCGUGAGUGACGGUAAUGGGUAAAGAAGCACCGGCUAACUACGUG